rnacentral:rRNA from 1 species
AGAGUUUGAUCCUGGCUCAGAACGAACGCUGGCGGCAUGCCUAACACAUGCAAGUCGAACGAGACCUUCGGGUCUAGUGGCGCACGGGUGCGUAACGCGUGGGAAUCUGCCCUUAGGUACGAAAUAACUCAGGGAAACUUGUGCUAAUACCGUAUGAUGUCUUCGGACCAAAGAUUUAUUGCCUAGGGAUGAGCCCGCGUUGGAUUAGCUAGUUGGUGGGGUAAAGGCCUACCAAGGCGACGAUCCAUAGCUGGUCUGAGAGGAUGAUCAGCCACACUGGGACUGAGACACGGCCCAGACUCCUACGGGAGGCAGCAGUGGGGAAUAUUGGACAAUGGGCGAAAGCCUGAUCCAGCAAUGCCGCGUGAGUGAAGAAGACCUUCGGGUUGUAAAGCUCUUUUACCCGGGAAGAUAAUGACUGUACCGGGAGAAUAAGCCCCGGCUAACUCCGUGCCAGCAGCCGCGGUAAUACGGAGGGGGCUAGCGUUGUUCGGAAUUACUGGGCGUUAAGCGUACGUAGGCGGGCUUUUUAAGUCAGAAGUUGAAAUCCCGGUGCUCAACAACGGAACUGGCCUUUUGAAACUGGAUCCUUGAAACGUCNGAAAANGUUAAUUGGGAAAUUUCCGAAGUGGUAGAAGGUUGAAAUUUCGUUANAAUUAUUUCNGGA